CUUCACCGACCCCAACCACAACGGCCGACCAUCAGGACGACCCUGACCAUAGGUGGCCAACAACGCCUGCGCCUC
rnacentral:antisense_RNA from 1 species